rnacentral:rRNA from 1 species
UCAGAACGAACGCUGGCGGCGCGUUUAAGCAUGCAAGUCGAGCGGCAAGGGCCUUCGGGCCCCUAGAGCGGCGGACGGGUGAGUAACACGUGGACAAUCUGCCCCCCGGCCCGGGAUAGCCCAGGGAAACCUGGAUUAAUACCGGAUGAGACGGGACCCGCGAUGGCGGGAUCCGGGAAAGGCGCUGCGGCGCCGCCGGGGGAUGAGUCUGCGUCCCAUUAGCUAGACGGCGGGGUAACGGCCCACCGUGGCGACGAUGGGUAGCCGGCCUGAGAGGGUGGACGGCCACAUUGGAACUGAGACACGGUCCAGACUCCUACGGGAGGCAGCAGCUAAGAAUCUUCCGCAAUGGGCGAAAGCCUGACGGAGCGACGCCCGCGUGAACGAAGAAGGCCGUGAGGUUGUAAAGUUCUUUUCGGGAGGGGGAACAACCGUGGCAGGGAAUGGCCGCGGGAUGACGUGAAUCCCGGAAUAAGCCCCGGCUAACUACGUGCCAGCAGCCGC